GACGAACGCUGGUGGCGUGCUUAACACAUGCAAGUCGAACGGUAAGGCCCUUCGGGGUACACGAGUGGCGAACGGGUGAGUAACACGUGGGUGAUCUGCCCUGCACUUCGGGAUAAGCCUGGGAAACUGGGUCUAAUACCGGAUAGGACCACUGCCUGCAUGGGUGGUGGUGGAAAGCUUUUGCGGUGUGGGAUGGGCCCGCGGCCUAUCAGCUUGUUGGUGGGGUGAUGGCCUACCAAGGCGACGACGGGUAGCCGGCCUGGGAGGGUGACCGGCCACACUGGGGCGGAGAUACGGCCCAGUUUGCGACGGGAGGCAGCAGGGGGGUAUAUUGCACAAUGGGCGCAAGCCUGAUGCAGCGACGCCGCGUGAGGGAUGACGGUCUUCGAGUUGUAAACCUCUUUCAGCACCGACGAAGCGCAAGUGACGGUAGGUGCAGAAGAAGGACCGGCCAACUACGUGCCAGCCGCCGCAGUAA
rnacentral:rRNA from 1 species